AACGAACGCUGGCGGCAUGCCUAACACAUGCAAGUCGAACGAGACCUUCGGGUCUAGUGGCGCACGGGUGCGUAACGCGUGGGAACCUGCCCUUAGGUUCGGAAUAACUCCCCGAAAGGGGCGCUAAUACCGGAUAAUGUCUUCGGACCAAAGAUUUAUCGCCUUUGGAUGGGCCCGCGUUGGAUUAGCUAGUUGGUAGGGUAAAAGCCUACCAAGGCGACGAUCCAUAGCUGGUCUGAGAGGAUGAUCAGCCACACUGGGACUGAGACACGGCCCAGACUCCUACGGGAGGCAGCAGUGGGGAAUAUUGGACAAUGGGCGAAAGCCUGAUCCAGCAAUGCCGCGUGAGUGAUGAAGGCCUUAGGGUUGUAAAGCUCUUUUACCCGGGAUGAUAAUGACAGUACCGGGAGAAUAAGCUCCGGCUAACUCCGU
rnacentral:rRNA from 1 species